AGGGCUAUCGCCAAGCGGUAAGGCACAGGACUUUGACUCCUGCACUCGUGGGUUCGAAUCCCGCUAGCCCUG
rnacentral:tRNA from 1 species